CCUCCUUAUACGAUUUAGAACUUAUUUGUUCGUAGUGUCCACACAGAUGAUUGUUAGUUAGCUAAGCCACUGGCUUACCUAAUUAAUAUGCUCUUUAAAAAUUUGGAAAAGCUGAUAAUAAAAUUCGUAUAGAUAACAGUUGUUAUUUAUACAGAGUUUUCAAAAGUAAAAAAAUGCCAUUGAUUAUUCAAACGAAUAAUGAAUUGGUAUCUACUUUAGUAUUCAAUAUUAACUUCUGGCGAAGUUAAACUGUCACUAACAAAGACCCGUUUGGGUUGUAUGGUUAAGUGACUAAGCGUACACGGUGGAUGCCUUGGCAGUUGGAGGCGAUGAAGGACGUAUUAACUUGCGAUAAGCCUAGUCAAGCUAGUAAAAAGCGCUUGAGACUAGGAUUUCCGAAUGGA
rnacentral:misc_RNA from 1 species